CAAGGUAGAGUUACAGGCGACUGUGACCCUGCAGACUCCGGAGCUGGGAGUGCGGACAUACAUGUCAACUACCUGGAAAUUAUCAAUGACUGCACGUGCCCAGCUCUUCUGGACCCUCUGAUGUUCUGUCACAUGGGAGCAAAUGGAGAGCUGGGACAUCCUUUGACCUCAGCCCUCAAAGGUUAGGAAGCGGGCCCCUCCUCCCUCCAAGAAUUCCUUUUCUCCAAGGGUGAUUAACUACCUCAGCCAUCCUUCCAGGAGGGCCAAAAAAGCUGUUUUGAAUCUGUACCGGCUCAGAAUAAUCAGUUCCUGGUAUUUCCGGCUUUGUGUGAAGCAGGAUUUCCUGUUUCAAGGCGGGCUGGCUCCCCUGUCCUGAUAUUAGGGAGUCUAUGUAAUAGAUUACUAAUCCAUACUGUUUUUGUUUUUCUAUUCAGGAUAAUUAACUUCUUGCUCAAUCCCUCAGCAUUUGACCAAAAUACCAAGAUAAAAAUGUAGGCCCGUGUUAGUACAAAAGGUCCUGCAUUCAACUGUCCUCCUUAUAUUGCCCAAGAAGUCUUGUGGAAUUCCAAGAAGAAUUCAAGGGGCCAGACCUGGAAUAUGCAUCAAUGAGAAUAAGACACUGACGAAGCUAACGACACUAACGGGGAAUGAGGAUAAUCGACUCCUGUCCUUUGUUUUACUCUUUAACCUAGUAAUAAAUCCCUUUAAAGGCCCGUGGUAUUCGGA
rnacentral:lncRNA from 1 species